AACGAACGCUGGCGGCGUGCUUAACACAUGCAAGUCGAACGAGAAAAUCGUAGCAAUACGGUGAGUAAAGUGGCGCACGGGUCCGUAACACGUGGGCAAUCUAUCCUUGGGUGGGGAAUAACCUGUCGAAAGACGAGCUAAUACCCCGUAAGACCACGGCCUCUCCGGAGGCUGAGGUAAAAGGUGGCCUCUAUUUAUAAGCUAUCGCCUUGAGGUUGAGCCUGCGCACCAUCAGCUAGUUGGUAGGGUAACGGCCUACCAAGGCUAAGACGGUUAGCUGGUCUGAGAGGACGACCAGCGACACUGGAACUGAGACACGGUCCAGACUCCUACGGGAGGCAGCAGUGGGGAAUCUUGGACAAUGGGCGAAAGCCUGAUCCAGCAACGCCGCGUGAGUGAUGAAGGCC
rnacentral:rRNA from 1 species